AGUUUGAUCCUGGCUCAGAACGAACGCUGGCGGCAGGCCUAACACAUGCAAGUCGAACGCAUCCUUCGGGGUGAGUGGCAGACGGGUGAGUAACACGUGGGAACGUGCCCAUCGGUUCGGAAUAACCCAGGGAAACUUGGGCUAAGACCGGAUACGACCGAGAGGUGAAAGAUUUAUCGCCGAUGGAUCGGCCCGCGUCUGAUUAGCUAGUUGGUGAGGUAAUGGCUCACCAAGGCGACGAUCAGUAGCUGGUCUGAGAGGAUGAUCAGCCACACUGGGACUGAGACACGGCCCAGACUCCUACGGGAGGCAGCAGUGGGGAAUAUUGGACAAUGGGCGCAAGCCUGAUCCAGCCAUGCCGCGUGAGUGAUGAAGGCCCUAGGGUUGUAAAGCUCUUUCGCACGCGACGAUAAUGACGGUAGCGUGAGAAGAAGCCCCGGCUAACUUCGUGCCAGCAGCCGCGGUAAUACGAAGGGGGCUAGCGUUGUUCGGAAUCACUGGGCGUAAAGGGCGCGUAGGCGGCCGUUCAAGUCGGGGGUGAAAGCCUGUGGCUCAACCACAGAAUUGCCUUCGAUACUGUACGGCUCGAGACCGGAAGAGGUAAGUGGAACUGCGAGUGUAGAGGUGAAAUUCGUAGAUAUUCGCAAGAACACCAGUGGCGAAGGCGGCUUACUGGUCCGGUUCUGACGCUGAGGCGCGAAAGCGUGGGGAGCAAACAGGAUUAGAUACCCCCGUAGUCC
rnacentral:rRNA from 1 species